CAGUAUAUAUCAGAGUUUGAUCCUGGCUCAGGACGAACGCUGGCGGCAUGCCUAAUACAUGCAAGUUGAACGAUGAUAUUCUCUGCUUGCAGAGAAUUGAAGAGUAGCGAACGGGUGAGCAACACGUGGGGAACCUGCCCAUGAGAGGGGGAUAACAUUCGGAAACGGAUGCUAAUACCGCAUAAUGCUUUGGACCGCCUGGUCCAGAGACGAAAGACGGCUUUUGCUGUCACUCAUGGAUGGCCCCGCGCCGUAUUAGCUAGUUGGUGAGGUAAUGGCUCACCAAAGCUGUGAUACGUAGCCGACCUGAGAGGGUGAUCGGCCACACUGGGACUGAGACACGGCCCAG
rnacentral:rRNA from 1 species